rnacentral:rRNA from 1 species
GAUGAACGCUGGCGGCGUGCCUAAUACAUGCAAGUAGAACGCUGAAGCUUGGUGCUUGCACCGAGCGGAUGAGUUGCGAACGGGUGAGUAACGCGUAGGUAACCUGCCUCUUAGCGGGGGAUAACUAUUGGAAACGAUAGCUAAUACCGCAUAAAAGUCGAUAUCGCAUGAUAUUGAUUUGAAAGGUGCAAUUGCAUCACUAAGAGAUGGACCUGCGUUGUAUUAGCUAGUUGGUGAGGUAACGGCUCACCAAGGCAACGAUACAUAGCCGACCUGAGAGGGUGAUCGGCCACACUGGGACUGAGACACGGCCCAGACUCCUACGGGAGGCAGCAGUAGGGAAUCUUCGGCAAUGGGGGCAACCCUGACCGAGCAACGCCGCGUGAGUGAAGAAGGUUUUCGGAUCGUAAAGCUCUGUUGUAAGAGAAGAACGAGUGUGAGAGUGGAA